rnacentral:rRNA from 1 species
AUUGAACGCUGGCGGCAGGCUUAACACAUGCAAGUCGAGCGGUAACAUUUSUAGCUUGCUAGAAGAUGACGAGCGGCGGACGGGUGAGUAAUACUUAGGAAUCUACCUAGUAGUGGGGGAUAGCUCGGGGAAACUCGAAUUAAUACCGCAUACGACCUACGGGAGAAAGGGGGCAGUUUACUGCUCUCGCUAUUAGAUGAGCCUAAGUCGGAUUAGCUAGAUGGUGGGGUAAAGGCCUACCAWGGCGACGAUCUGUAGCUGGUCUGAGAGGAUGAUCAGCCACACCGGGACUGAGACACGGCCCGGACUCCUACGGGAGGCAGCAGUGGGGAAUAUUGGACAAUGGGGGGAACCCUGAUCCAGCCAUGCCGCGUGUGUGAAGAAGGCCUUUUGGUUGUAAAGCACUUUAAGCAGUGAAGAAGACUCCAUGGUUAAUACCUGUGGACGAUGACAUAGCUGCAG